rnacentral:lncRNA from 1 species
GCAAACGGGGAAAUGCAAACCCCAUUUAUAGGGUCACAUUUGGAGGAGCCGGCUCCGUCGGGGGCAGGAGGGAGGAAGUGGUGGGGAGGCUCAGGGUGUGUCAGAUCCAGCCUCCCCACCUCUGCUGAGCUGGCGGCUGGACUCAAGGCCUGCCACGUCUUCCUGCUCUGCAGUGCACUAGCUGUGUGACCUUCUGCAAACUGGGUAACCACACUGCCUCCCCACCCCAUCUCCUCCAAGGUAAAGUGGAGAUUUUACCUGCUGCAAAAAGUUGGGUGAGGACUGAUGAGAGAAUGAGGGUUGAUAAGAGAAGGUGAAGGAAGAGAAGGGAAAAUGUGAAAGACAAUAUUCCAGUCUCCACUGAAUGUGUGGGCACUUCAGUCUCGUGGCAAGUUCAGGCCAAGGGGACAGCUGCUGAAAUGUGGGGGUCCAGGGGCUGCAGAGGGGUUCUGCUGCCUAGCAUUUAAAAGAAGAGGGAAGUAAAUAUUUCUGAGCAACCAUACAGCAUUGAAAGCGAAGCCUUAUCCAUCAUCCACGUCAAAGGGGCUGGAAAGGUCCGAAUCCACCUGAAUGACAACUAAAGUUUCGAGAAUGGGAAUGCAAAAGGGGAUUCAAAGCCACCUGCAUUCCUCGGCCCAUGGCCCCUUCUACCAUCUUUGAAGGCAGCAGCAUAGCACAUCUUCGAAUCUCUCUCUGGCCCUGAAACUCUUGUCUGUGUCUUAUGAGGACCCUUGUGACUACAUUGAGCCCACCCAGAUAAUCCAGGAUAAUCUUCCAGCCUCAAGAUCCUUAACUCAAUCACAUCUGCCAAGUCCCUUUUGCCAUAUAAGGUAACACACAUUCACAGGUUCUGCAGAUUAGGAUGUGAACAUCUAUGGCAGGGGGAGGGAACAUUAUUCUAUCAACUACACCUUGGGAAUCACAUAGCAUAGCAUCAUGUCCACAGUAAAGACUGGUCAAAAUUGUCACAGCCAGCUCAGAUUCUAGAGUAGGGGUCAUAGACCCAACCUCUCAAUGGAAGGAGUGCCAAUAAAUGUGUGGCCAUGUGGCCUUGGUUUGAAACUACCACGCCUUUCCUGUUGUGGCUGCUCCACAUUGGCUAACGGGGGAGGAGCUUCACCCCCAUUUUUGACUCAGCAACACGAACAUGAAAAGAGAUGGACAGUCCAGCAGACAUUGAAAGGGGGCAAAAGAUACGCCAUGCAGUUGCACUUCGUGUAAAUUUUAAAUAGUAUCACAUACAAAAUUAAUAAACCUUCUCUUUAUGCACAGUUGAAGCCAAGAAAAUCUUACUUUAUAUUUAUUCCUAACUGAAAACUAGACUCGAAUUGUGCAAGUUUUA